rnacentral:rRNA from 1 species
GACAAACGCUGGCGGCGUGCCUAACACAUGCAAGUCGAACGGGGUAAAGAGCUUCGGUUUUUACUUAGUGGCGAACGGGUGAGUAACGCGUGAGGAACCUGCCUUUCAGUGGGGGACAACAGUUAGAAAUGACUGCUAAUACCGCAUAUGCCUAAGUAUCGCAUGAUACAAUAGGGAAAGGAGUAAUCCGCUGAUAGAUGGGCUUGCGUCUGAUUAGAUAGUUGGUAGGGUAACGGCCUACCAAGACGACGAUCAGUAGCCGGACUGAGAGGUUGAACGGCCACAUUGGGACUGAGAUACGGCCCAG